GCUGGCGUAGCUCAGCCGGUAGAGCACGUCCUUGGUAAGGACGAGGUCACGGGUUCAAGUCCCGUCGCCAGCU
rnacentral:tRNA from 1 species